CCCAGUUCGAUAUUCAGCCAACAGGUAUACCCAUGUGUCCCCUUUCGGUAUCCUGACAAAACCUUUUGAGUAUCAUCGAGGGUGAGGGUGGGGUAACUGCAUUCCUUUUUAAGUAACACUUGAGAAACAGACUGCUUUAGGUUAAAUCCAUUCCAAAAAUGCCUUGUCUGCCGUGUGUGGAGAAGUGGUGACUAUUUAGUUGGAUUUUUUGCACUUUGAAAAAAAAAAAAAAGCAAAACCUAUUUUGAAGGAGAUAUUUAUGGGGCUCAGAACCUAGUUAUUGCAGUUUUGAUUUAAAGUUUCUAGAGGUUUGUGCUACUUCCUUGUGCUUCUCCAUUUUCUUGUACAAAAACCUCAACAUUUUGUUAGCUAAUAAUGUUAACUGUAAAGCAGUUUAUUCCUUCAAGAUCCCAGUUCUGCAUGUAAUCUGCUGUUUGAGUGUUUUUGUGGUGCUUUGGUGUGUUAAUAUUUCAGCCUGGCACGCUGGGGGGGCUCAGGGGAGCUCUGGUGCACUACGAGCCCUUUGGUUUGUCUUUAUUUAAAUAAAUCCCUUUCCCCAGUACCGUUCCAAAGGGUGUUGGCUGCUUCUGCACCAAAUCUUUUUGCUUUCAGGGCACUGAAAGGCCUCAUCCUGGUCAAUAAUUAAACCUUCUCGGGAUGUUGGAGGCUCUGGCUGAUAGUUUGGAUUUAGGUGGCCACGCACAGGGACCUGCACCCUAAUUCUUGGUAAUCUUAGAGUGACUUUGCCAUAAUUGAUUCUGCUUUUGGAAGAUGGAUUGAAAUGGGGGAUUCUACAUAUUUCUUGUAUCCAAUAUGCUUGUUUUGGUACUUUUAAGGGGAAUUGCCUUUGAUUUGUGGAAAUCUAAGGUUACGAAUUGCUGUGUUCUUUACCAAAAGCCAGUAUUAAUAUUUCUGUGCCUGCACUUUGGUUCAUCUGGUACAAAAUUAACAUUUCACGUUCAGGGGCUGAAAGUUGAAGGUCCUUGAUGAAAGGAAAACACUCCUUAUUUAUGUUCCUAACUCAAAAUGUUUAAUUGUUGUUUUCAGUCAGAAAUAAAAAAAGCAGCACCUUUGGAUACGGGUUCGGAGCUGGCGGGUGUUGUGUGGCCGUUACCCAGGCAGUGUGUGAAGCUCUGUGUUCUAACGCUGCUGAUUCCCACUGGAAGGUACCUGCUUGGGUAAGCUUUUUGGGUAAGCUUUUUCCACCUCGUGUUUUCCAAGUAUCCAGUUUAAGGUGACAGAAAAUGAACACUAAAUUCAUCACCUUCGCAGUGAGCUAAGAUUGGUCGUUCCCAUUUCCCCUCUAAACGUACCUUCAAAUGGUCAUUCCGACUGUGUACGUGUCAGUGCUUUGAGUGGGACAGUCAAAAUAACACUUGUUGAACUUUAAAUCAAAACUGUAAUUAUCAGAUUUUAUUUUUGUAUAAUUUAGAGGAAGCUAGAAAAACCUUCAACAUUGGCUUUAUACAGAUUUUAAUUGAUUUGUGUCGAGUUUGUUGGGUUUUUAUAUCUAAAGUUAUAUUUCUGUACAUAAUAAAAACUAUUCAGAACUAAUCUGUAAAUUGUAAUAAAGAGAUUUGCAAGAUAA